rnacentral:lncRNA from 10 species
AGGGCUGGAAGUGGGUGGAUGGAAGAAAAUGCUGCCCUUCCUGCUAUCUCUAAGGAACGGAGAUAAUCCGAUGGGGAAGAACCUGGCGGGUCGAGUUUUAAACUUUUCUUGUUGUAGUUACUGAGAUUCCAGAUCAGAAACGAAACUAACCCACGCGAACCCCCUUUUUAAGGAGAAACAAUUGCCUCGGUGUCACAGGCACACGGGCAUGUACAAGCCCGGCGGCGCGUGGUGUAGAAAAUGGCUAGCUUUAAGCCAUGCAAAUAAAGGAAAACGUCAGCUCACCCUUCUGCCCUUUUAUCCUGGGACUGCUGGGUGUUCCCUUAGACGGGGAAUGUAGAACUUCAAAAGCACUUCAGAAAGAUUUGGAAGAGACUCCUGAAAACGGUGACCGAGCUUUGAAUUGUUAAGUGGUGGUGUUGUCAGCCAUGUGGCUGCUGUUGCUUUUAGCGAUGAAAAUCACACCACACAAGCUUCUCGGGCAAGUAAAAUUGAAUCUCUGAAGCAAGAAAAAUGUAUUUCCCCGUUUAAAGACCUUAAGGCUGCUGUUUCAAUGCACACACUGAAAAGGGUGGAGGAAGGAGGGACCUCACAAUUGAGUUCCACAAACCACAUGAGAAUAAUUACUGUAGAAUGGAACCAAUUGUAGUGGCUGAGCUCUCAAUUAAGAAUUAACUAACGUUUAUCCUUGACAGAUAUCAUGCGGUAUAAUCCCCUUGGCUGACAGAAGAAAAAGAUUCUCAGAAAAUGGUUCUUUCAAGGCAGAUGCUGCUUACAGGCAGACCUGAAUGGUGAAAAGCAGCUUUAUUUGUAUGAGAUAUAGGUAGCAUAUAACCCACCAUCUUCUAAAAAUAUAGUGAAUUAAUAACUUUCUCUUUUUUUUCUUCUUUUUUUAAACAGGUCACUCUGCCACCCAGGCUGGAGUGCAGUGGCAUGAUCUGGCUCACUGCAACCUCCUUCUCCUGGGUUCAAGUGAUUCUACUGCCUCAGCCUCCGAGUAGCUGAGACUACAGGCGCCCACCACCACACCCGGCUGAUUUUUGUAUUUUCAGUAGAGACGGGGUUUCCGCCAUAUUGGCCAGACUGGUCUCGAAAUCCUGACCUCAGGUGAUCCACCCUCUUCGGCCUCCCAAACUGCUGGGAUUACAGGCGUGAGCCACCACACCAGGCCUCAUUGUUUUUUGAUUGAUGACAUGCCAUACAUUUACCGAUCUGCCAAAAAUUGUAGAGGGAUGCACAGAAUCCAGCAUUGUGUCUUGUUUAAUCUUCUCAAUCAUCCUGUAAAUUGAGUGUUACUAGCCCUAUUUUAACGUAAGGAAUCAAAGGCUCAGCAAAGUUAUGUAAGUAAAUUUCUCCAAAUCAGCUAGAACUUGGAUUGAAACCGAGGUCUAUUUGACUCCAAAGCCAUUGAUUUUCUUUCUAUAUCUCAAGUAUUGAGUGUCCAUAAUUUAUACUUUUUCAAACAAUAGAAUGCUACAAGAAAUCCACAGGCUUGGGCCACUGCUCUCACAGACCUACUUUAUAUAAUUACCAUCUUGUUGCUUGUCAGACCUGCAGUAUUCCAAACUCCUGACUUGAAUUUCUGACUCCAGUUUCCCCCAGUUCUAAUUAUUUCUCUGUACCACUCACUACCGAUGAGUUUUCUAAAAUGUUUGGUUUUGUCAUCAACAUCUUCCCCUCUAAAUCAGGUCCCCCUUUCCCUGCAAUUCUUAUCUAGCCAUUUAAAACUCUCUCUUAUCCUGCUUCUUACCUUUCCCAGCUUAUCUCCCACUUCGCUCCCAGGAAACCCUCUCUGUAGUCAAACAGGUCUACUCACAGAUCCCUGCUUCGUUCUCACCUUUCAGCCUAACCGAAAUCCCCACUCCUCUGUGGGUUAAGUCCCACCCUUCUCUCAAAGCCUAAUUAAAUUAAAGUCCUUGUCCUCUGCCAAGACUUAGCUGUGUGUUACAGUGGACAGAGAAAAGGACUCAAGGUUCUUGGCCUGGCUCUGCCACUUAGCUAUUGGGUAACUUUGGGCAAGUCACUAAAACAUCCAUCCCGAAUCUCAGUUACCUCCUCUUUAAAAUAGGGCUGACAAUACCUAUGUUAAAGGUUGUUAUAAGGAUUGAGAUUGUACAGAUGUGUAAACAUGUGGUUAUACAUGUCCAGUUAAAUGCCUUUCCUGCCUUCCCAAACUCUGAAGAGCAAGCAUCUUGCUUAUAGGACCUCUUUAUAUUCCUUAUACCCAAUUCAAGGAAAAGGCUCAAUAAAAAUAUAGGGCAUGAGAAAAUAGAUCAUUGUAUCAUUUCUAUUCUCUUCCAUUCUUUAAAUGCAGUCUAUCCCCAAAUAAUCUCUCAGACAAAAACUUUAACUGUUUCUUCUUGUUCUUUUUUUCCUCUCUCUUUCUCUCUUUUUAUGCCAGAAGGGCCAGAGCCCUUCUGUUCUCCCACACCCCUACCCACCGUUCGUUCAACACCCUUAACUUCCUCAGAUCACUUCUGGACCAACUACUUCACCUGUCUCUUAAUUAACUACUGACCCUUCCCUGUCCCACAGUCAGGGACACAACUUGUCCAUCAGUGUCUGUUGCCUGCCUUGCUCCCAGAUGCCUUCAAACGGAGGCUGGGUGGCUACCAGCCAUUCCUCCAGCCCUAGUCAGGACGGCUGCAGCCAGGCUCACAUUUUUCCAAAACUACAGCCAGCCACAGGAGAUGGGGGAGGGAAUGUCCCACCCCCACAGAGAUGGCAGGAUAGAAAAACAGGAAGUCGCCUCCCAUCCUUUCUGCAGCUGGAGUGAUAACAGCUGCCAUCCAGAAUCCAGAAAACAAAAGACUCAAAGGGAAGGCUGAAAACGGGCCAGGUCUGGAGCAGUAACAUUCAAGCUAGAGGUUACAGAGUGGGUGAGGGAGGAACCAAUGGUUGAGAUUUCAGCCUCCUUCUACCUCCCUUUAACCAGAGUUACAGCUCUUUUAUCUGCUCUACAUUUAGGCUUCACCAUGAUACUUCAUUUUUUGAAGACAGUGUAACCCUUAAAUAAACAUACUGAAAUCACUGGCCUCUGGGUGUCUUGGGGAAACUCCAAAAAAAUCAGGAUAGUGCAGCAGAAGCAAGACAGGAUGCCUGAUGAGCAGGUAGCCAGAACUUACUCCUCACUAUCCCGGCUCCUGGCUGGCUUAGUGCAAAUGAUCAUUUAUGAUUCCUAUGAUUUCAACGCUAAUUUAUUCUGUAGGUCUAGAUAUUUUCUGCCUAGUUAUUCCUAUGACUAACCUUACCUUUGGUAACUUUUUGCCAAAGAGUAUCACUAUUGCGGGGUAGGGAGCAAGAGACACUGCAGAGCAGGAGAACACCUGCUCAAUUAGAACUUGAAAUGGAUCCUAAAAGUCAUUUGAUGCAACC